rnacentral:ncRNA from 1 species
ACGCAGCAGACGGGGAGCCUGUUUUAAGGCUGAGAGGGGGCGACGCCCCGACCCGAUGAACCUGAUGCGGGUAAUGCCGCCGUAGGGAGAAUAGCUCGUGUGCGUUU